ensembl:misc_RNA Metazoa_SRP Metazoan signal recognition particle RNA
GCUGGACGUGGUGGCUCACGUCUGUAAUCCCAGCACUUUGGGAGGCAGAGGUAGGUGGAUCACCUGAGGCCAGGAGUUCGAGACCAGCCUGGCCAACAUGGUGAAACCCUGUCUCUA